GUAAUCCAUAUGACUCCAGUGGUUAAAUCCAUGUCUUCUGAGACAAUAUGAUAGGGGUGGGUGCAAAACAUAUAUAUAUUUAAAUCCUUUUUUUUUUUUUUACCAUAAAUCUCCACUUUCAAACAGCCUUCCUAAGAGUUCUUCUUUAGUUUUAGGUGAUUCGCAUUCUUUGUGCAUAUCGCCACCUACUGGUUAGGGAGGAUAAUUUAAAGUAAAAAGGGACUGAAAUAUUGAUCUGUUUCUCAGCCACACUUAUCAUAUCGCUUCUGAAGACAUGAAUUAAACCACUGGAGUCGUAUGGAUUACUUUUAUGCUGCAUUUAUGUGCUUUUUGGAGCUUCAAAGGUCUGGUCACCAUUCACUUGUGUUGUAUGAACCUACAGAGCAGAGAUAUUUUCUUUAAAAAUCUUUGUGUUCUGCAGAAGAAAGAAAGUCAUACACAUCUGGGAUGGCAUGAGGGUGAGUAAACAACCUCAGCAUUUGUCAAUCGUUGUUGAUUUUAAUUUCAAUAUUUACUAAUGAAGUUUUAAAAUUAAAAGUUGUAUACGUGUACAUAAUUUAAUUCAAUAAGAACUCACAACUAACAAUGAACAAUUGUGUUUUUAUCAAUUACUGUCAUCAAAGGUGAUUGUUAGUUCAUGAUACCUAAUACAUUUACUAAUGUUAGCAAAUGGAACCGUAUUGUAAAGUGUUACCAUAAAUUCUACCUACUGUACAACAACUGUACACAUGAAAUAAUUAAUAGUUUUAAUAGAACUAGUUCUUAUUUAUGAUAUUAUUAGAACAAAUAAAUCACUGUAGUGGAAGGAGAGGUGUUUGUUUGGGGCUUUGGAAUUCUGGGAAAAGGUCCAAAUCUUUCUGAGUCAGCUAUCCCAGAAAGAGUGCCAGCAAAAUUUUUUGGGAUGUCAGAGUUCAACCCUGCAGUAAAUGUCUCUUCCAUCCGCUGUGGACUCAACCACUUUGCAGCCAUCACAGAUCAUGGUGAGCUGUUUGUUUGGGGUAAGAAUGUGAGAGGGUGUCUAGGCAUUGGGAAACAUGACGACCAGUAUUUUCCAUGGAGGAAGACAGUGCCAGGCCACGUGACAGAUGUUGUCUGUGGUGUUGACCACAUAGUGGCGCUGGUCAAAUCAAUCAUAGGAGUCUUCAUAUGUCUCACACUACAGAGAGGGGUGUUUUUAAGGUAACAUGGAAAUAUGACACCACCUCUGCUGUUUACAGUAUGGACCUAAAAAUAGACUUGAGAGUAAACAGACUCAGGGCAUCUUUUUCGAGGAGUACAUUCUAUCUGACUUUUUGGAAUUCCCUCCAAAGUUUUUUUGGCUGUUUCAUCUUCACAUGUGAUGGACACUGUACAUUCAAAGCCAUGUUAUCAGUACUGAUUCUGGAUCUGCUUUAUUGUUAAAAUGCACUGAAUUCUCAACAGGCAAGGGGACAAUCUGAUAUCUGAUCUCAAAAUAGUGCAAAAUGGGAAAUAACGAUAUUGGCUUUGCUGUGGUCAAGCAGGACAUUUUGGCAAAACAUCUGGCUCUCGCCUUUUGUGCUCUUUUUAAGAAAUGUUCAAUCUGUCAAAAUAAAACAAGUCAAAAAUAUAUUUGUAGUAUGAAAUUUAAAUGUAAAACAAAAGACUUUUCUUACCAGUGGCGGUUUGUACAGUUAUGGUUUUGAUGGAUUCUUAAAUAGAAUAGUUCAACCAACAAUAAAUAUUAUUUUCUCACCCUCAUGUUGUUCAAAACCAUUUAACUUUUUUCUUUGGAACACAAGAUACUCAGAACCAAAAUUUUAGUUGUGAAAUCUUAUGUCGGCAUAUUUAAAUCUGGUGUGUCGAGAUCGGUUUUGAGCAGUGUUGGUACAUUUCUCAAAAAAUUAAUUCUUACAAAUUACUAAUUACUUUUCAAAUUAAUCAGGUUACUGACUUUAAUAAUUGCUUAUAGAAUUAACUUUUAAGUUACUUUCUAAAAACACAUUCUACAGAAAAGUUAGUUUUUCCACUCAUUGAGUUCAAAAUAACAUUUAUAUUUCCUUCUUGUUCAUUGUUCAAGUCAUACAUUCAGCACCACACAUUUCUACCUUACAGAAAUGGUCACAGAAAUGCAAAAAGACGCAUAUAUGAACCUGUUUUUAAAUAUUACUGAAACGUGUAACCCAAGUAAUGUACUAAAAAGUAAUUAUUUGAAAGUCAGUAACUAACCUGCAUACAGGAAUUAAAAAUGUAGUGUUACUCUACUUUUUGUACUAAAAAAAGUAAAAAGUUUACAGUAAUUACUUUGUAAUUAGAUUACACCCAUUGCUGGUUUUGAGACAUGUGAGAACCAAAAUUGUCAAAUGUGCCAUGAUGAGUGUUUGCGUGUCUGGUUUGAAUAUGCAUGCACACAAGUGAAUGAGAUUUAGAAGCUUCAGCAGAAGGGAAGACUUUAAGCGAACAAAGAAUUUUACAGAAGACUUGGAAUACAGUGCACAAGUCAUAUGGAUGAUUUUAAACAAUUAAAAAAAAUUAUAUUCCAUGGGCUAAACAUUUAUGUGCAGUAGAGCAUAAGCAUGGUCUUAAAUGAAUAUUCUGGGUUCAAUACAAAUUAAGCUCAAUCAACAGUACUUGUGGGAUAAUGGAGUGGUAGUGGCAUAGUGGGCUAAAGCACAUAACUGGUAAUCAGAAGGCUGCCGGUUCAAUCCCCACAGCCACCACCAUUGUGUCCUUGAGCAAGGCACUUAACUCCAGGUUGCUCCAGGGGGAUUGUCCCUGUAAUAAGGGCACUGUAAGUCACUUUGGAUAAAAGUAUCUGCAAAAAUGCAUAAAUGUAAUAAUGUUGAUUACCACAAAAAAUUAUUCUGACGACUCAACCCUUUUCUUAAAAAAACAAAACAAAUCAAGGUUACAGUGAGGCACUUACAAGGGAAGGGAAAGGGACCAAUGAAAGUGAACAGACAAUUUUUGGAGGGUUUAAAGACAGAAAUGUGAAGCUUACAAUUUUAUAAAAGCACUUGCAUCAAUUGUUCUGUUACAACUCAUGUAUUAUUUGUGCUGUAAAGCUGAUUAAAUCAUAAUUUGUUUACAGUCGUUUUAAGGUUUGUUGACAU